AGGACGAACGCUGGCGGCGUGCCUAAUACAUGCAAGUCGAACGGUCUUUCUAUGGAAGCUUGCUUCCACUGAGAAGAUAGUGGCGAACGGGUGAGUAACACGUGGGUAACCUGCCCAUAAGAGGGGGGAUAACAUCCGGAAACGGGUGCUAAUACCGCAUAGUUUUCUUGAUCGCAUGAUCGGGAAAGGAAAGACGGCCUUUGUGCUGUCGCUUAUGGAUGGACCCGCGGCGUAUUAGUUAGUUGGUGAGGUAACGGCUCACCAAGACGAUGAUACGUAGCCGACCUGAGAGGGUGAUCGGCCACAUUGGGACUGAGACACGGCCCAAACUCCUACGGGAGGCAGCAGUAGGGAAUCUUCCGCAAUGGACGAAAGUCUGACGGAGCAACGCCGCGUGAGUGGAGAAAGGUUUUCGGAUCGUAAAACUCUGUUGUCAGAGAAGAACAAGUUGGAGAGUAACUGCUCCAGCCUUGACGGUAUCUGACCAGAAAGCCACGGCUAACUACGUGCCAGCAGCCGC
rnacentral:rRNA from 1 species